ACUCACCCUUGUUUAACCUUGUGACACAGCAUGGCACCAGGAAUUCCUUGCCUAAGCAAUGCUUUGUAGAAUGUUUUCCCUACAGGCUUUACCUGAAAUGUGCACAGCUCCUCAGUUGGUAUUUUCACUGAUUGCUGUCCAGGCAAACUGAAAUUUGAUAUUAAAAGCACAUCUUUGGCUUCUCAGCCCUGCAGGGAUUACAUGAACAUAGAUCCACACCGAAAGGGCAAAGAACACCAGCACUGGAAACUGUUCUGCAUGUCACGGGGUCACUCCAAACCCUCCCCCUGGGAACAGUAUCUCCCUGGCCUAGGUCUGUUCAUCAUGGAGUUCAGGGGGAAUUUUGAAGCCUGAUAACUUGCAGUAAAUGAGAAGAUGGAAAGACUGGAAUGACUGGGACAUUUGGAGCAGCUGAGCAGCAGGAGGAUGCUGGGGCUGUGAGGCCCUCGGGGUGGCUGGGAACCAUUCCAGAGGACCCCAGGAACCACACAAAAGGGUCUGAUCCAAACCAAACUCAUAAUUCUGACAGGAAUAGAUGAAAGGAUGAAAGGAGCACAUGAAUGCAUAGAAAUAGAACAAAACCAAACAAAUACAUGCUUCACCAGUGAUUAUUGUACCAUUACUCUGAUCUACUGCUGCUCAGAUAAAGAGGCUAAAUAAAAAGGCAAGCAAAGACCCAGUUGAUGCUGAUACUUGUAUUGUAAACUGCUGCAGCUGAAACAGCAGGGAACAUCUUCAGCAAUAUCCAAAGUUAUGACAGGACAAAUGGGGAAAAAAG